UUACGGCCAUAUCACGUUGAAAUACCAGUUCGUGUAAGAUCACGGAAGUUAAGCAACGUUGAACCUAGUCAGUACCAAGAUGGGUGACCGCUUGGGAAUAACAGGUCCUGU